AAAUUGAUGAAUUAUAACAGAUCUAGGUAGAAUUUAUCCACCCCCAUCCCUACCCCCUUUUUGGGUAGAUAACAGAAAUGUGCAAUUCACUGUACUAUGGAGACUGGAAGGUCUACUACAUUUAUUGCUGUGCCAGUUCUCCUUAUAAGUUGUUGUUGCUGCUUUUGUUUUAUUUAUUCUGUCUAUGGGUGUGUUUGUUUUCUGUUUGUUUUUCUGUCUUUCUAGGUAGCCUUAGCUGGCCUGAUACUUGCUAUGUAAUCCAAAUUGGCUUUGAACUCCUAGCAAUCCUCCUGAGUUAACUCUCCGUGUGCUGGGAUUACAGGCUCUGACAAAAUGCCUGGGAGAAACAACUUAAGAGAAAAGGGUCUAUUUUGGCUCAUGUCAAAGGAUCCCAACUACGAUGGUGAGGCAGAUAUUGUGGUAGAAGUGGCUGAGUUAAGUUCUUAGUCUGUGUUGAUGUGAGUACCAAGCAGAUGGUCACUUCAUGAGGAGAAAACAGGGAGCUAGACUGGAUCCAGCGGUAUGUAUGGGAAGCUGCUUCUGUUUGCAAGGCCACAUAUUCCUAGUUCACAGCCUCAUACAACAGUGCCACAAGCUGGUGAGUUUUCAAAUACGUGCACUCCCAGGAACAUAAUAUAUGGAAAUAAUCUUGCAUCUCCUCACUGGUAAUCUUUGUCCGGGUGAACUGGAAGGGUCCUUAGAGUAGGAGUGAGCUGGAUUGCUAAACAGAGUUCCAUUAUUCUCCUAUCAGAUCAAUAAAUUUUCACUUGUUCUGAGGUACUAUUUAUGGAUUAGUAAAAUACCCACAAUAACAUCUACAGACAGAAAGGUAUAGGCUCAGAAAUUAACAGCCUUGAGUUGCAGGUGGAAGGUGCAGAAGCCAAAUUAAAAACAGUCUUUUCAGGCUGAGCUCAGGAGCCUGAAUUUCCAUGCUGUAAGUGGCUGGGAUCCACUGGAGGAUUUUAAUUGUGUAAGUUGACAAGAUCAGAUUUGCUAUUCAGAAAGCACACCCUGGCACAGAUCGGUGGGUGGAAUAGAAAGUGGUUGCCCUGGAGACAGGCAGACCCAUUAGGAAGCUCUGACAAAGAUCCAGGAGAGAGAAAAUGAGGAUAGUGGUUGGAGGAAUGAGCAGAUUCAAAGACAUUUUAGAGGUGGAACGGAUGGUCGGGAGACGCUCAUUCAGUGUAAAUGCUGAAGGAAAGGAAGAACCAAGGAGCGCUGUGGUUUCCAGCUUGGAUUUCUAUAUGGAUAGUGAAUAAUUAAUGAAGAUGUGGCGGGCGGGCAUAAUGGGGACUUAAGAGGGAGGUAGUUGUAGAUGGACGUGAUCAAUAUACAUUUGUUUAAAUGUGUAUAACUUUCAAAGAGUAAGAGAAUUAUUAUUUUAAUAGAUCAAGGUAUAAAAUACAAAAAAAAGUCAAAUGGGGGGGGGGGUUUGCUAAUGAAUUCAUAUGUGACCUGUUGAAUUUGAUGUAUCUUUUGGACUUGUAGGUGAAGAAGUCACAUGUGGUGAAUAUAUUAUCAUCAGAAUGCGGAGCAAUGAAAUGUAAACAGAUAGGAAUCGUCACUAAAGCUCCAACUGCAGCCUCCGGGUGCCAUAGCUUUUGCACCAUCCAUUUGCACCAUCUCUGCAUUGCUCUCAAUCACUGCCACGAGUCUGGUGAUGCGCUAAGCUCGGGGCAGGAUCUCAAGGGCUUUGAGGAUGUCUGCAUCAUCUGUAUUGACCUGCUCCCCAGAUUAAUACCGAAGCACUGCAAUUUCUUGAGGAUUAUCCACCUAGGAGGAAAUGAUACGCUGGCCCAUCCAUAGUAGUCAAGGUUUCUUGGAAGAGAAGAAUGAGAUUGGAUCUGAGAAAAUGUGGCUGGUAAUGAACUCUACGAAGGGAUUUUUAUACUCUCUCUUUGGCAGUCCAUCCUGUGAAAUAAUAAUGAGGUUGGAGGAUGGCUGCUAACCAUCCCUUGCUUUUCCGUGCCAGGGAACCACCAUCUCAGAUGGUAGAAACCACUCAGAAGGAUCAACUGCUGCAGACGGGAAGAGGAGCAACCUCGUGAAUAAUUUCGUGACAGGAUAUUGCAGGAGGGACUUUGUCCAAAUGUGUGCAGGGUAGUUGGCUACAGCAACAAGGAUGACGAACACAGAUGAAUUGAUCAGGAUGUAACCAUUCAAAGUUGAGAGGAUUAGAGGACUUCUCCGAGGCGGCUCCAAUGGAUGCCAGCAGAGUUAAAGUGUCCAAUGGAGAGAAGAGAAGGCUUGGGAAAUCCAGAGUCCAUUCAUUCAUCGCCCUCCUCCUAGAACAACAAAAGCGAGCCCCAGUACUCAUCAGCAUGGACUCUGUGUGUAGUCAUCUCCCUUAGUUUCAGAGGUUCCUGCCUACAGCAAAACUUUAGAGGCUUAGAGUUUAACGGUCAUAGCUUAUUCACCUCCAACUGUGUCCUAGUUCAAGAGAAACACUUCACAUAUCUGUAGGGAGAAGAUAAUGAACCAAGGAUACAAGUUAAGCCUUAGCUAAGACCUGUUACUCAGGAAAAAGAGCUAAAACAAGCUGCUUAGAUCAGCACCAAUGUUAGGUAGAGAGAAAAAGAAACGCUGCAUAGAAAUCUUAAGGUUCACAUGUGCUCCAGGCUGGGUCAACAACUUCUAAUUUCCUUUGCCAACCAACCAUGUCUUUGACAGAAAUGAUCCUUCUACAUAGACCACAGAGGGAUCCAAUGGAGGUUUCUCUUCCUGAAUUUGGGGAUUCAGAAUCUGGACAAAUUCCUUUCCAUCAAAGUCCAGUACAAAAGUAGUACCAUGGCAGUCCCUGCAGGGACUUGCAUCACUUUCCCUAGAGAUAUCAAGAGAAUUUUUAGUGAUAAGAAUAUGGCACAAAAUGAGAAAUCCCAUUACUCUUAAGAGAAUCUCUUCCUUCUCAAAGGCACCUGAUUAAUACAUAUAGUACUAUCAGUAAGGCUGAGCAAAAGGAUACUGAUGUUCUGAGUGAUCUUAAAUCAUGUAAUAAUAACUUUAUUCGUAGUAUAGAACGGAAUAUUCCCUAUUAGUAAUCAGUUCCUUUGCCAGAUCCUCAUAGUAUCUUAGUCACUGUUUUAUUGUUAUGAAGAGAAACUUUGACCACAGCACCUCUUAGAAAAAAGGAAGCAUUUAAUCGGGACUUCCUUAUGGUUUCACAGUUUUACAUAAUUGUCAACAUGGCAGAGAACAUGGGGGCACGCAAACAGACAUGGUGCUGGAGAAGUAGCGGAGAAUAUACAGCAACAUAUAGAUACAAAAUAUAGAUACAUAUAGAUACAGAAUAUAGAUACAUAUAGCUACAUAUAGAUCUGCAGGCAGCAGGAAGAGACUGGGACAAGGCCAUACCUUCUAAGGCUUCUCAAGGAGUGUCACUUCCUGAUGACCAAGCAUUCAAGUGUAUGAGCUUAUGGGAGCCAUUCUUAUUCAAGCCACCACACAUAGCAAAGCUGAUAAUGUCAUUUUCUGAAUUAACCAGGCCAAGGCACACUUCUUAGCAACAUGGUUACCUGGUAACCAGAGAUUUUUCUCAUCCCAUGAGAGAUUUCAUUCAAGAACUGAUCUUCUAACAGUUUUGUCUCUCUUAAGAAUGCUACAGACAGGGUGGGGUGAGGCACAGUGCUGAAGCCCCUCAAGUUUCCCAGAGGGAUGAGUCCAUGAAAGACGAAAAUCAUGUGGUCACACUGAGCAUAGACUUCACAAGCAUCAUGCUAGGAUUCCAUUUUCUUUCUCAACACAAUGAUAAAUUCUUCUUCCAAUAAGCAGAAAAUCAUCCAAUGGGAAAAAAAAAUAAAACCAACUAACUUGCAGUCCUUUGGAACAGUUUCAUAGCUUACAGGAUGGCUUCAUAACCCUGGGGACACUCGUUUUGACAUGAAAACUUCCUUCAGAACAGGAAUUCUGAUCCAACAUGUGCUCAGACAUCAUUUCAGUCACUUGCAAAUGAACAAGAAAGCUCAUGUAAAUGAGGAGGCUCAACUCCCAGGCCUGGUGAGUGGGUAAGACAUUCCUCUGCUGGGUUUUGAAGGCUGUCUGAAACCAUCGGCUGACAUCCUUCUCUGUGUGCAUGUAUGCACUAUCUACGGGAAAUUCAGCUCCAACCGGUUGUCUCUACAGCUCCCUUAAUCUUCUCCUCCCUCCUCCUGGCAUUGGCAUGUGUCCCAGGACUGCAGCGAGGAGUGCUUACCAACAAAGGUGCUGGCAUCUGCAUUUGUUUCACAGCCACAAACCUAAUGGUUCCAUGAUUUUGGCGAGCAAAACUGUCAAAAUGCCUGAGCACAAGAGAUCACAAGAUGAGCCAAGGCAUAGUGUGCAUGCCUUCCUUCCCAGCACUCGGAAGGCAGAGGCAAGGGGAUCUCUGUGGGUUCAAGGCCAGCCUGAAUCACAAGGUGUACUGGGGAUUCUUUUUUAUUGUUUUCCUUUUGCUAUCUGGAAUAGUUUGAGAUUGUAUUUGAUCAGUGCAUUAAACAAC
rnacentral:lncRNA from 1 species